rnacentral:rRNA from 1 species
GACGAACGCUGGCGGCGUGCUUAACACAUGCAAGUCGAACGGAAAGGCCCUGCUUUUGUGGGGUGCUCGAGUGGCGAACGGGUGAGUAACACGUGAGUAACCUGCCCUUGACUUUGGGAUAACUUCAGGAAACUUGGGCUAAUACCGGAUAGGAGCUCCUGCUGCAUGGUGUGGGUUGGAAAGUUUCGGCGUUUGUGGAUGGACUCGCGGCUUAUCAGCUUGUUUGUGGGGUAGUGGCUUACCAAGGCUUUGACGGGUAGCCGGCAUGAGAGGGUGACCGGCGAAAAUGGGACUGAGAUAGGGCCCAGAAGGCAACGGGAGGCAGCAGUGGGGAAGAUUGCACAAUGGGAGGAAGCCUGAUGCAGCAACGCCGCGUGCGGGAUGACGGCCUUCGGGUUGUAAACCGAUUUAGACUGUGACGAAGAGUGAGUGACGGUAAUGGGUAAAGAAGCACCGGCUAACUACGUG